rnacentral:rRNA from 1 species
UACAGAGGUCUCAAGCGUUUGGUUUCGGAUUCAUUAGGGCGUAAAGGGUGCGUAGGGCGGCGCGGAUAAGUCGGGUAGUCGGAAAUCUCGGAGCUUAACGUCCGAAACUGCAUUCGAUACUGCCGUGCUUGGAGGACUGGAGAGGAGACUGGAAUUUACGGUGUAGCGGUGAAAUGCGUAGAUAUCUGGAGGAAUACCGGUGGCGAAGGCGGCAUCCUGGACCGAGAUUGACACAUGAUGAGC